UGGGGCGUCGACAAGUGGCAAGUCUCGAGGUUUUGGUCCUCGCAUUCGGAGGUUCGAAUCCUUCCGCCCCAGCCA
rnacentral:tRNA from 1 species